CGGAGACUGCAAGCGUUAUUCGGAUUCACUGGGCGUAAAGGGUGCGCAGGCGGCCAAGUGUGUUAGGCGUGAAAGCCCGGGGCUUAACCCCGGAAUUGCACCUAAAACUACAUGGCUAGAGCAUUGGAGAGGGUAGCGGAAUUCACGGUGUAGCAGUGAAAUGCGUAGAUAUCGUGAGGAACACCAGAGGCGAAGGCGGCUACCUGGACAAUUGCUGACGCUCAGGCACGAAAGCGUGGGGAGCAAAAGGGAUUAGAUACCCCUGUAGUCCACGCCCUAAACGGCGCACACUAGGUCUUGGCGGAUUCGACCCCACCAGGGCCCAAGCUAACGCGUUAAGUGUGCCGCCUGAGGACUACGGUCGCAAGACUA
rnacentral:rRNA from 1 species